GGGCUAGUAAAGGUUUCGACAGGGAUCUUGAAGCUGGAGAAGCGAGUCGCAUGGGAUGCGUGAAAUGCCAAAAUUAAAAUUAAACGCUGAAGAUAAUUUAGCUUACGCUGCCUAAUGGCAGCAGUCUGACCUAGUGCACCUACACAUUAGGACCCAGGCUUCGACUAUGUAGGAAACGACAUUGGCAAAGCUUUGAGCCAAUGGGCGUAUCAUGAAGCUACUAAAACCGUCAGGGUGUCUCUCCCCGGGCGGCGGAGGGAAUGUAAAAGGAGAGACUACACUCGUAGAAGGACAGGGGAUUGGUUUUUGGACACGGGUUCGAUUCCCGUCUAGUCCAUUU
rnacentral:tmRNA from 2 species